rnacentral:rRNA from 1 species
GUGGAUUAGAUACCCGGGUAGUCCACGCCGUAAACGGUGGGCGCUAGGUGUGGGUUCCUUCCACGGGAUCUGUGCCGUAGCUAACGCAUUAAGCGCCCCGCCUGGGGAGUACGGCCGCAAGGCUAAAACUCAAAGGAAUUGACGGGGGCCCGCACAAGCGGCGGAGCAUGUGGAUUAAUUCGAUGCAACGCGAAGAACCUUACCUGGGUUUGACAUACACCGGAUCGCCUCAGAGAUGGGGUUUCCCUUGUGGUCGGUGUACAGGUGGUGCAUGGCCGUCGUCAACU